CAAAGGAGUGAUCCGGCAGAGGAUGGACAUGCGGCGCAUUAGCUAGUCGGCGGGGUAACGGCCCACCGAGGCUACGAUGCGUAGGGGUUCUGAGAGGAAGGUCCCCCACACUGGUACUGAGACACGGACCAGACUCCUACGGGAGGCAGCAGUGAGGAAUAUUGGUCAAUGGGCGGAAGCCUGAACCAGCCAAGUCGCGUGAGGGAAGACGGUCCUAUGGAUUGUAAACCUCUUUUGCAGGGGAACAAGGCGCGGUACGUGUACCGCGAAGGAGAGUACCCUGAGAAAAAGCAUCGGCUAACUCCGUGCCAGCAGCCGCGGUAAUACGGAGGAUGCGAGCGUUAUCCGGAUUUAUUGGGUUUAAAGGGUGCGCAGGCGGACUGUUAAGUCAGCGGUAAAAUGUCGGUGCUCAACACCGGCCGGCCGUUGAAACUGGCAGCCUUGAGUGAGCGAGAAGUAUGCGGAAUGCGUGGUGUAGCGGUGAAAUGCAUAGAUAUCACGCAGAACUCCGAUUGCGAAGGCAGCAUACCGGCGCUCAACUGACGCUCAGGCACGAAAGCGUGGGUAUCGAACAGGCUUAGAUACCCUGGUAGUCCACGCAGUAAACGAU
rnacentral:rRNA from 1 species